GACGAACGCUGGCGGCGUGCUUAACACAUGCAAGUCGAACGGAAAGGCCCUGCUUGCAGGGUACUCGAGUGGCGAACGGGUGAGUAACACGUGGGUGAUCUGCCCUGCACUUCGGGAUAAGCCUGGGAAACUGGGUCUAAUACCGGAUAGGAGCCAUUUUUAGUGUGAUGGUUGGAAAGUUUUUUCGGUGUAGGAUGAGCUCGCGGCCUAUCAGCUUGUUGGUGGGGUAAUGGCCUACCAAGGCGGCGACGGGUAGCCGGCCUGAGAGGGUGGACGGCCACAUUGGGACUGAGAGACGGCCCAGACUCCUACGGGAGGCAGCAGUGGGGAAUAUUGCACAAUGGGCGCAAGCCUGAUGCAGCGACGCCGCGUGGGGGAUGACGGCCUUCGGGUUGUAAACUGCUUUCGCUAGGGACGAAGCUUUUUGUGACGGUACCUAGAUAAGAAGCACCGGCUAACUACGUG
rnacentral:rRNA from 1 species